rnacentral:rRNA from 1 species
CCUACGGGUGGCAGCAGGGAGGAAUAUUGGGAAAUGGGCGCGAGCCGGAACCAGCCAAGUAGCGUGAAGGAUGACGGCCCGACGGGGUGUAAACUUCGUUUAUAAAGGAAUAAAGUGAGGCACGUGUGCCUUUUUGUAUGUACAUUAUGAAUAAGGAUCGGCUAACUCCGUGCCAGCAGCCGCGGUAAUACGGAGGAUCCGAGCGUUAUCCGGAUUGGUUGGGUUGAAAGGGAGCGUAGAGGGGUUGUUAAGUCAGUUGUGCAAGUUUGCGGCGCCACCGUCAAAUUGCACUUGAUAAUGGCAGCCUUGAGUACUGUUGAGGUCGGCGGAAUUCGUGGUGUAGCUGU